rnacentral:rRNA from 1 species
GAUGAACGCUGGCGGCGUGCCUAAUACAUGCAAGUCGAGCGAACAGACGAGGAGCUUGCUCCUCUGACGUUAGCGGCGGACGGGUGAGUAACACGUGGAUAACCUACCUAUAAGACUGGGAUAACUUCGGGAAACCGGAGCUAAUACCGGAUAAUAUAUUGAACCGCAUGGUUCAAUAGUGAAAGACGGUUUUGCUGUCACUUAUAGAUGGAUCCGCGCCGCAUUAGCUAGUUGGUAAGGUAACGGCUUACCAAGGCAACGAUGCGUAGCGGACCUGAGAGGGUGGUCGGCCACAUUGGAACUGAGACACGGUCCAGACUCCUACGGGAGGCAGACGUAGGGAAUCUUACGCAAUGGGCGAAAGCCUGACGGAGCAACGCCGCGUGAGUGAUGAAGGUCUUCGGAUCGUAAAACUCUGUUAUUAGGGAAGUACAAAUGUGUAAGUAACUAUGCACGUCUUGACGGUACCUAAUCAGAAAGCCACGGCUAACUACGUG